rnacentral:rRNA from 1 species
CCGUCUCCGCCUCCGGCGCCGACUGGACCUCGGUCUUCGGCGAGGAGAUGGUCCGGCUCGGCAAGGAGCGCGAGGACAUCGUGGCGAUCACCGCCGCCAUGCUCCAGCCCGUCGGCCUCCAGAAGUUCGCCGACGCCUUCCCCGAGCGGGUCUACGACGUCGGCAUCGCCGAGCAGCACGGCGCGGUCUCCGCGGCGGGCCUGGCCAGCGGCGGCGUCCAUCCCGUCUUCGCCGUCUACGCCACCUUCCUCAACCGCGCCUUCGACCAGCUCCUGAUGGACGUGGCCCUGCACCGCUGCGGCGUCACCUUCGUCCUGGACCGGGCCGGGGUCACCGGCACCGACGGCGCCUCGCACAACGGCAUGUGGGACAUGUCCAUCCUCCAGGUCGUCCCGGGCCUGCGGAUCGCCGCCCCGCGCGACGCCGACCAGCUCCGCGCCCAGCUGCGCGAGGCCGUCGCCGUCGAGGACGCCCCGACCGUCGUCCGCUACUCCAAGGGCGCCGUCGGCCCCGCCGUCCCCGCCCUCGGCACCGUCGGCUCCAUGGACGUGCUGCGCGAGCCGGGCACCUCCCGCCCCGACGUGCUGCUCGUCUCGGUCGGUGCGCUCGCCCCGAUGUGCCUGGAGAUCGCCGGCCUCCUAGACAAGCAGGGCAUCUCCACCACCGUGGUCGACCCGCGCUGGGUCAAGCCGGUCGACGAGGCGCUCGCCCCGCUCGCCGAGCAGCACCGCGUGGUCGUCACCGUCGAGGACAACAGCCGCGUCGGCGGCGUCGGCUCGGCCGUCGCCCAGGCGCUGCGCGACGCCGGUGUGGACGUACCGCUGCGCGACUUCGGCAUCCCGCCGCGCUUCCUCGACCACGCCACCCGCAAGGAGGUGCUGGCCGAGAUCGGCCUGACCGCCCCGGACAUCGCCCGGCAGGUCACCGGCCUCGUCGCCAAGCUCGACGGACGGUACGAGCACGGCACCCCGGCCCAGGCCGUGGAGCCGGCCCGCGACUGACCCCUCCUGCCCCCGGGCAGGCCAUGGGCCGGGCCCACCACCCCGCACGGGUGGUGGGCCCGGCCCAUUCGCGUGAAGCGGGCCGCGUCGGGCCAUGCGCCGCGCACCGCCCUCCGAUCAUGGCGGGGACGACCAGCGCGGGAGGUACACCCUUGAGCAGCCUCUUCAGGACGAAGAGUGUCGAGCAGUCGAUCCGGGACACGGAGGAGCCGGAGACGGCCCUCAAGAAGUCGCUGUCCGCCCUCGACCUCACCGUCUUCGGCGUCGGUGUCAUCAUCGGCACCGGCAUCUUCGUCCUCACCGGCAAGAUCGCCAAGGAGACCGCCGGCCCCAGCGUCGCCAUCGCCUUCGUGGUGGCCGGCCUGGUCUGCGCCCUCGCGGCCCUCUGCUACGCCGAGUUCGCCUCCACGGUGCCGGUGGCCGGCUCGGCCUACACCUUCUCCUACGCCUCGCUGGGCGAGUUCCCGGCGUGGAUCAUCGGCUGGGACCUCAUCCUGGAGCUGGCGCUCGGCUGCGCCGUCGUCGCCGUCGGCU